AAUGAACGCUGGCGGCAUGCCUAACACAUGCAAGUCGAACGAAAUCCCGCGGGGCUUACUGGCGCACGGUUGCGGAAGGCGGGGGAAUUUGCCCGUAGGUUCGGAAUAACAGUUAGUAAUGACUGCUAAUACCGGAUGAUGACGUAAAGUCCAAAGAUUUAAAGCCUGAGGAUGAGUCGGCGUAGGAUUAGCUAGUGGGUGUGGUAAAGGCGUACCAAGGCGACGAGCCGUAGCUGACCUGAGAGGCUGACCAGCUACACGGGGACUGAGACACGGCCCAGACUCCUGCGCGAGGCCGCAGUAGGGACUCUUACGCAAUGGGGGAGAGCCUGAUGCUGCAACGCCGCGUGAGGGAUGAAGGUCUUCGGAUCGGAAAGCGCUGUUGUUAGUGAAGAAGUAAUGUGCUUUUACCCGUGAUGGUCAUGACGGUACCGGAAGAAUAAGCCCCGGCUAACUCCGUG
rnacentral:rRNA from 1 species